UGGACUCAAGAUGAAUCCUGACCUUAUUUCCUCUAUGAAAUCCCCAGUGAAAUCACUGGAGCUGCAGAGUGUAAACAAGGGCAGAGUAUGACUUUAUAUGAAUAUGCUCACAACUGAAUUGUGAAAUGACAUCUUCGAAACAACUUUCCUUUGACACAUUACCAACCCAGAGAAACUCAAGAGUAAGAUAAAUAAGAUUAAAAUAGAAUCUUGUUCUCCUUCAAAUUCAGGUGCAUAAAAUUCAUGAACAAGACAAAAAAAAAAGCCUUUGAAAGCAUUCAUCUGAAGUUUGAUGUGAAAAGUACACAAGAGCACAAAAACAGUGGUAACUGGUCAGACUAAAGCUUCCUGAAAUCAACUAACCAGGCUCAAGCACUCUAGGAUCAAAGACUAAUCAUUCAGAUGAGGAACUUUUUGACAUUCCCUAAGAAGAAACAGAAAAGUUCCUCAGCCUGGUGUGUGAAGACCUGAAGUUCCUCUUAUGUGUGACCAAAUCCACUGCAGCAGAAAUAUCCUCACAUCAGCUGUUUCCUGAUGCCAACAAAUGAUUUGGAUGGCACAUUCAACCUGUCUGCCAGGAACAGCCAGGGGAAAUACAGCAAAUACAUAAUGCUCUCCUGGGACCUGACCCUCAUCUUUUCCAGAGCAUUAACACACAAGAAAAUACACAAAUGCUGGUUGGAUUUUGGCCCCCAGUUGCUCAUUUCAGUGCCUGCUACGUGAUCCUUCAAAGGAAAGAAAAGCCUUCACUUGCACAAAUGAACUUGGACUACUGACACCCCAGCUGGUAGGAUACAGCGUAGAACAACAGCACUGUUCACCACAGGAGAAUCUGAGGAACAGAUUUCUGGAAAUCUGUUUGUGACAAUAGAAGGUGUUGGUCAUGGGGAGCCUCUUCCUGAUAACUGUGUCCUGGAAGUCGACUUGCGACACAGGAGAAGC
rnacentral:lncRNA from 1 species